GGCUGGUACCCGAGGGAAGAAAGCGGGAGGUCGCGGAGCUGCCUUUGUAGCCGGGGCCGUGACGCCCAGCCCCCCCUGCGUGGCUCUCAGGCCGCCCUAUCAUUACCUGGGGCCGUGCUCCGCCCGCUCCCACUGCCACCUAAACAUUUAGGAUGUGUAUGGGGAAGAAUGGCUGAUGCGUUGCCAAAAAGUGUUCCCUGCCUCAGCCGUUGACCCAGGGUGCAGAAAGACCCGACUGAAGCAGAUUGCUGACUCGAAUCGCAGUGUACGUCCUGUCUGCUGGGGCAGAGCCUGUCCUAUACAGGCAGCCCAGCAGCGUCAGGGAAAUGUUACCUUGCCUCUGCUCCGUAAGUAGGAGGCCUAUGGUGGUUUUACUUGCCCCUGUGUGAACAUGUACAGACGUUUUGUCUUAUUCCCUAAACAAUACAGUAUAACAACUAUUUACACAGCAUUUACAUCACAUUGGGUAUUAUAAGUAAUCUAGGAUGAUUUCAAGUCUUCGGGUGUAGAUUGAUAUGCAAACACUACACCAUGUUAAAUAAGGGACUGGAAUUUGUGGAUUUGGAUAUGGGUGGUCGGUCCUGGCUCCAGUCUGCACUGCACCAUCCCGGAAGAUGCCUCCAAGAGGACUUAGUUGUCCUUAGGUCGGGACUGAGCAUCGGGGCAAUGGGUUCCAGUGCUGACCUUGUGUCGCCGCCUGUAUGACACAAGCUAAGUCCUUUCCAUUUUCUGGGCCUCCCUGAGAACAGGCAGUUGGCCACAUGAUCCCCCGACAAGCGCCUACGGCCAGCUGGGAGGCAGAGGGAAACAGAGCAGAAAGAGCAGGGAAGGGGAGAGGAGACAGGCCCUGAUGGUGUGGGAAAGAGAGAGUGGGUGCAGGGGAAGGCAGAGAAGAGAAGAAAGGCAUCCACUUUCUGAGUCACUAAACAAGCUGAACUUGAAAACUGGCUCGGCAUGGCCGGCCUGGGAGGACGGACCUCCAGCUGGGGAACCUGGCGUCCCAGUCUUUGGCCAGCAGAGCCACCAGGUGGAGUCCCGAGCCAGUACCCCCUCUGCCUCAGGAACAAGGGCAGGAGUCAGGGGGAAUUCCAGGUCAGCUGGAAAAUUACAGAGCCCAGAGAGUGGACGUUGGUAUUUUCCAGGCUUGGGAAGGAGCACUGGGAGCUGGAGACAGCUGUCCCCCCUCCGGGGACUGGGUGUCUUCCUCUUCCUCCCCUGGACCCCACUUCUUGCCAGGGUCUAUGUGCCUCAUGACCCGGAAGAGGAAGCAGGCCCCAGAGCGCAUGUCAUGAGAUCCCCACCCCGCCCAGUGGCCUGGCACUUGGGCAGCUGCCCGGUCACCGUCCUCAGCGAAGAUGACCUCCCUGCCAAGCCAGGUGGAUCCACUUGGUGCUAUGGGAUCCUCUGCCCUGAAACUCCCUCAUAAUACUAGUAGAUAAUCAAUAAUAAUCAU
ensembl:lncRNA